rnacentral:rRNA from 1 species
GCGACGAUCCCUAGCUGGUCUGAGAGGAUGACCAGCCACACUGGAACUGAGACACGGUCCAGACUCCUACGGGAGGCAGCAGUGGGGAAUAUUGCACAAUGGGCGCAAGCCUGAUGCAGCCAUGCCGCGUGUAUGAAAAAGGCCUUCGGGUUGUAAAGUACUUUCAGCGGGGAGGAAGGGAGUAAAGUUAAUACCUUUGCUCAUUGACGUUACCCGCAGAAGAAGCACCGGCUAACUCCGUGCCAGCAGCCGCGGUAAUACGGAGGGUGCAAGCGUUAAUCGGAAUUACUGGGCGUAAAGCGCACGCAGGCGGUUUGUUAAGUCAGAUGUGAAAUCCCCGGGCUCAACCUGGGAACUGCAUCUGAUACUGGCAAGCUUGAGUCUCGUAGAGGGGGGUAGAAUUCCAGGUGUAGCGGUGAAAUGCGUAGAGAUCUGGAGGAAUACCGGUGGCGAAGGCGGCCCCCUGG